rnacentral:rRNA from 1 species
UACGUAGGUGGCAAGCGUUACUCGGAAUCACUAGGCGUAAAGCGCAGGUAGGAGGUUUGGAAAGUCUGUUGUGAAAGCUCCCGGCUUAACUGGGAGAGGUCAACGGAAACUACCAGGCUAGAGUGCGGUAGAGGUAGCUGGAAUUCCCGGUGUAGCGGUGAAAUGCGUAGAUAUCGGGAGGAAUACCUAUGGCGAAAGCAGGCUACUGGACCGUCACUGACUCUGAUCUGCGAAAGCUAGGGGAGCAAACAGG